UACAGAGGUCUCAAGCGUUGUUCGGAUUCAUUGGGCGUAAAGGGUGCGUAGGUGGCGCGGUAAGUCGGGUGUGAAAUUUCGGAGCUUAACUCCGAAAACUGCAUUCGAUACUGCCGUGCUUGAGGACUGGAGAGGAGACUGGAAUUUACGGUGUAGCAGUGAAAAUGCGUAGAGAUCGUAAGGAAGACCAGUGGCGAAAGGCGGGGUCUCUGGACAGUUC
rnacentral:rRNA from 1 species